rnacentral:rRNA from 1 species
UACGAAGGGGGCAAGCGUUGUUCGGAAUUACUGGGCGUAAAGGGCGCGUAGGCGGCUUACCAAGUCAGGCGUGAAAUUCCCGGGCUCAACCUGGGGGCUGCGCUUGAUACUGGUGAGCUUGAAUGCGGGAGAGGAUAGUGGAAUUCCCAGUGUAGGGGUGAAAUUCGUAGAUAUUGGGAAGAACACCGGUGGCGAAGGCGGCUAUCUGGCCCGUAAUUGACGCUGAGGCGCGAAAGCGUGGGGAGCAAACAGG